CUAUUCUCUAAAGCUUCUAUUUAUAUUUCAGAUGUAAACUUCAUCAUGAAGAGCAUCUACAUUCAGCAUGUUAAUCACAUCAGUGCCUGCUUGUUAGGAGGGGCAAGACACACAUGUCACUUAGAGCUAGACCUAUUCUCGAAGACACAACAAAGAACUGACUAAUACUUAGCAGUUAACGGUCUGACUUUAUUUUGUGUGUGUGUGUGUGUUUCUCGGACUUGUUGUAAAUGGACUUUAAACUUUUACUUUUGGUUCUGAGAAGGAUAUAAAGGAGAGGAAGAAAAUGGAAGGACCUGGUGUGUUUGGAAGAUCAGUUUCUGAAGUAUGUAACUAUGUGAAGGCAAAUCAAGCUACUCAAGGGUCAUGUUACAAGCUCAUGGUGCCUUUCCCCACUUCAGUUUAGGAACUGUAGUAUGAACCACUUCUUGGUUAACAGAAAGUGGCUUAUUCAGGACUUCCUGUCUCACUUCAAGCAGAAGAGGGACACUAGAUGAACAGUCGAGGAGCAUCUUGAAAUAAUCUUCCCAUUGAUUCAACUGAUCUUGCAUACUGGCUCAUGCUGCCAUCUCAAUUCUUUACUGGACAAGCUGGUGAUGAUUUUCGACAUUUUACGGUUGGGAGGAACUGUAACCCAAGCAUCUGGACCUGUUUAUUAUUUUACUAAGGCUGUUGAUUAAUUGCUGUUAACUCGUGAUUAACUAGAAAAAAAAGUUUAAUCGCACUUUUAAUAGGACUAUUAAGCAAUUAGAAAUACCAGUUGAAAUGUAUUAAAUAUUUUGGGUGUUUUUCUACAUUUUCAAAUAUAUUUCAAUUACAACACAAUACAAAGUGUAUAGUGCUCACAUGAUCAUUUUUACGGUGCAAGUAUAUGUAAUAAAAAUCAUAUAAAU